UGGCUCUCGCAACGAUGAAGAACGCAGCGAAAUGCGAUAAGUAAUGUGAAUUGCAGAAUUCAGUGAAUCAUCGAAUCUUUGAACGCACCUUGCGCCCUUUGGUAUUCCGAAGGGCACACCUGUUUGAGUGUCAUUAAUCUCUCAACCUUAGUGUUUUUGCUAACGCGAAAGGUUGGAUGUUGAGUGUUGUUGGACUUUAUUGUUCAACUCGCUUUAAAUGUAUGAGCAGGCUCUUAUACUUUCGGACCGACUCGACGUAAUAAGAAAUUUCGUUGAGGAUGCUUUAUUGCAGCCGGAUUGUAAGGAAAUGCCGCUACCAGUUUUUAAACCCCUUUAAUGUUUAGACCUCAAAUCAGGUGGGACUACCCGCUGA
rnacentral:misc_RNA from 1 species